AUGCCCGGUGCUGGCAACACCGCCGCGUGCCUUCGUCCACGACGUGUCCCCGGGCCCGACAAGCCUGGUGCGGUGCUUCGUCAACUUCGUCUCCGUCCGUCUACGCAUGCCCGGUGCUGGCUACACCAACGUGUGCCUUCGUCUACGAUGUGUCCCCUGGGUUGGCAACCCCGGCGCGUCGUGUUGUCAACAUCAUCUCCUUAUUGGCGCACCACUACUUCGACACCACUGCGCCCACGACUAACUCGGCGCCUCCUUGCGCCCGCGGCUCCACGGCAACUUCCUCGACACCGGCUACCCCGACUCGACAUCGACCACGGCAUUCAUCGCACGGCUACCUCGACCACGGCUCCACCACCCAUGCUCUCGGCUACAUCGACAAACGGCACAAAGGGCUACCGCCUGCUUGAGCAAUCUCGUCGGUUUUCACUCCAGCCACAACUCCGCGAUGCGUCGACCGUUACGACUGUGGGGGGGUGUCCGUCGACUUGCCUUCGGAUUCUUCUCCAGUCUCAUCGUCUGCGUCGCUACCGUUGUGACUGCAGGGGGAUGUUGAGUAUAUUGAUUCUUUAG
rnacentral:rRNA from 1 species